GGGAAAGGUUUCCAUAGCAAGGGGUCCUCGUCAUCACUUCUCUCUAAUGCAUGUUGAUCCUUGUGUUCUUCUUGAUCUUCUGAGUCUGCAUGUCCAAUGGACCUGUGUGCACCUUAAGUUUCAUUGGAAUUCUCUACUGCAACAAACUUUGCUCUAACAUUUCGCUUCUCUUGGUUUAGGAUAGAAGCAAACUGCCUUAUUUCUCUGCGUUCAAAUACCUUAAC
rnacentral:lncRNA from 7 species